GCAAAUAUUAGUGACACUGCGUCAUUCUGCGCAAUGCCGUCGCAAACUAUUGUGGAUAUUACAGAAGUGUCCUCAUCCAGGGUUGGAUAUUGGAGCUGAUACCUCACUAAUAACUCUUUGUUCAGUAAAGUGUGAUUUUCUACUAGCUUGUGCCGAGUUUAAUUAAAAAUUUUAUAAUAUUAAAAAAUAAUUAUAUUUCCUGCUAAUAGAAAAAAUCGUUUAAGCAGCACAAAAUAGAUUUAUAGGAAAUAAAACGGAUACCAAAAUUUGAGAAUUAAUGAUCAACAGGAAUUAAUGCUGUACUUAUGAACGAAACUAAAUAACGGGAUCAAUGGUGCUAAAGUCAUAAAAUUGGCAACGUUUAACCUACUUUACUGCUAAAACAACAAAUAAGCAAAAGGAACAAUGACAAGCAUUUUAAACGUCGGCGGAGGUGACUAUUUAUAAUCCAUUGCAAAAUUCAUACAUUUCAACACAGUUGGUGUAUGUGUGUGCUGCACUCGUCCGAAGGCGUUGGAAAACCCGCUGACAUUGGAAAAUUUCUUCUUGCUGUGCUGCUACGCUCUGCAUGUCGUAAUGAUUUGUUUCAUACAAGAGAAGUUGCCAUCAGCUGCCGGCUCCCAACCAAACAUGUGCGCUCAGAUCGCUUUCAUCGGAACCGAACCAUUGGCAACGGGUGGCUUUGUAAAAGGAACAGUAGAAAUACUGAGAAAUAGCCCUUUAUGCCUUCAUAGCCGGGACAUUAGUCAGCAUAAUUAGUUCCGCAAAUUAUUUAACGUUGACGAUCUUCCUUUAAGCAUUGGCAAGAAGACAUACACGCAUACAUGGUUUUUUAUUCACAAUUCCAUGCGAAGUUCCUUUUCAGAUGGGUUCAACACAAGUCUGCAAAGGUUUCACUCUUUAGACCUUAAAAGGUAAAAU
rnacentral:lncRNA from 1 species